AGCAUAUCAAUAAGCGGAGGAAAAGAAACCAACAGGGAUUGCCCUAGUAACGGCGAGUGAAGCGGCAACAGCUCAAAUUUGAAAUCUGGCGUCUUCGGCGUCCGAGUUGUAAUUUGCAGAGGGCGCUUUGGCAUUGGCAGCGGUCCAAGUUCCUUGGAACAGGACGUCACAGAGGGUGAGAAUCCCGUACGUGGUCGCUAGCCUUUACCGUGUAAAGCCCCUUCGACGAGUCGAGUUGUUUGGGAAUGCAGCUCUAAAUGGGAGGUAAAUUUCUUCUAAAGCUAAAUACUGGCCAGAGACCGAUAGCGCACAAGUAGAGUGAUCGAAAGAUGAAAAGCACUUUGGAAAGAGAGUUAAAAAGCACGUGAAAUUGUUGAAAGGGAAGCGCUUGCAGCCAGACUUGCCUGUAGUUGCUCAUCCGGGUUUCUACCCGGUGCACUCUUCUAUGGGCAGGCCAGCAUCAGUUUGGGCGGUUGGAUAAAGGUCUCUGUCAUGUACCUCUCUUCGGGGAGAACUUAUAGGGGAGACGUCAUGCAACCAGCCUGGACUGAGGUCCGCGCAUCUGCUAGGAUGCUGGCGUAAUGGCUGUAAGCGGCCCGUCUUGAAACACGGACCAAGGAGUCUAACAUCUAUGCGAGUGUUUGGGUGUCAAGCCCGAGCGCGUAAUGAAAGUGAACGGAGGUGGGAACCUUUCGGGGUGCACCAUCGACCGAUCCUGAUGUCUUCGGAUGGAUUUGAGUAAGAGCAUAGCUGUUGGGACCCGAAAGAUGGUGAACUAUGCUUGAAUAGGGUGAAGCCAGAGGAAACUCUGGUGGAGGCUCGCAGCGGUUCUGACGUGCAAAUCGAUCGUCAAAUUUGGGCAUAGGGGCGAAAGACUAAUCGAACUAUCUAGUAGCUGG
rnacentral:rRNA from 1 species